GGAGGCUUGUAUAUAAAUAAAGAGUAAGGAUUAAACAUUUUUGAUGCCGUAUUCUACCCCAUUAAAUUUCUAUUAUAAAUUGAUUGGAUGGAUCCAAAGCUAGAAUUUCUUAUUGAAAUUUGUUGAGAGGUUUCUAGUGAUGACUUCUGUACACAUCAUUCGUCAAAGACAUAUGGUUCAACUUCACCAGAAGCAUAUUCCUCUGAUUUUGUCGAGAAAAUCGUCAAUGAUUCUGUC
rnacentral:lncRNA from 1 species